UCAUUUCAAAUAAAGAUACACCUGUUGCAAAGCUUUACUCCUGAUAGCAACGGUCUAAUUAUAUUUUUAACACCAACGCCGAGCUAAUCAUUUAAUAUUGAAAAAUAAUUUCAAAUCAUUUUAAGAAACAAAAUAUGAAAAAGAAAACAGAACUAGAAUCUCGGGAUUAUGUUCUCAUUUCGUUACAAAAUCUCUCAUUAUCUUGACGAUCUCAGCUAACCUUUG
rnacentral:lncRNA from 1 species